CAUCCAGGCUGGAUUGCAGUGUCAUUGAUCAUAGCUCAAGCGGUCUUCCUGCCUCAGCCUCCCAAAGUGCUGUGAUUACAGGUGUGAGCCACUGCACCUGGCCUCUUCAUAUCUUACAACGAAAAGCACCAAGGAUUCUCUUUUGUUGAAUUUGAGUUGGCAGAGGAUGUUGCAGCAGCUGUCAACAACAUGUUUGGUCAGAUGAAGACUGGGUGGAGAAGUUUGCUGGGAAGAGGAUAAAGAGGAAGGUGGUUGAGACUUCCCAAAGCAGAAAGCCAGGAGGUGAGAAAUAUCUUAUGUGGGCUCAGGUAUUUGUGAUUGCUGCUGAGCAAGGCGGAUAUCUGAGGAAACAAGAGUUUGUAGAUACCUGUAAAUCUCUGUUUUGAUGAAGCUUUUCUGAAUCCUCCAGUGAGUAAGGGAGAGCCCACUGCUAAAAAAGGCCUAGUCAAAUCCUCAGGUGUACAUGGACAUCAAGAUUGGGAACAAGCCGGCUGGCUGCAUCCAAACCCUCCUGCGUUCCGACGUCGUGCCCAUGACCACAGAGAAUUUUCUCUACAUGUGCACCCAUUUAAAGGACUCGGCUUCAAGGGAAGCAGCUUCCACCGCAUUAUCCCCCAGUUCAUUUGCCAGGGCAGUGAUUUCACAAACCACGGUGGCACCAGGGGUCUGCGCAGGCAUGGCACUAAGUGUCCCAUGGCACAUUUGGCCCUCAUGGAGGCCUCAAAAGGGCAGGACCAGCACCCUCUUCUACGGAGGAAGGAACGGGCACAGCAGACUUGCGGAUCCUGCUCCCCUUCCCACUUCUGCACUUGGGGGUCUAAUGAGGCCUCAGUGGAACAUAGAAUUCCUCCCGCCCUGACAUCAUAGCUCCCGCCUGGGAGGCCUCCUGGAUGACUCCUUUCGCCUCCUCCCUUCCCUGAGAGCAGCCCCUGGCUCAACCUCCACCUCCGUGCUGCCUCGGACCACCUGCCCAGUCGAGCUGCCAUCACCUGCCAGGGUGAGCCACUGCGCCUGAUCAAGGCAUCACCGUUGAACCUCCUAAGAGGAA
ensembl:lncRNA PPIEL peptidylprolyl isomerase E like (pseudogene)